AACGCACGAGACCUGCGGACCUGCGGAAGGAUCAUUAGUGAACGCCCUCACGGGCUUAUAACUAUUCCAAACCUCUGUGAACCGUGCCCUUCGGGGCUAUUUUACAAACAUGGUGUAAUGAGCGUCAUAUAUCAUAACAAAACAAAACUUUUAACAACGGAUCUCU
rnacentral:misc_RNA from 1 species